rnacentral:sRNA from 1 species
UUUUAGCCCCGAUAGCAGCGGCAUCCUUUUUUGUAGUCAUAUCGACUCCUCUCUAUGACUACAAAAAAGAUAUAGCGGAUAGCGGGAAAUAGC